rnacentral:rRNA from 1 species
UACGGAAGGCAGCAGUGGGGAAUAUUGGACAAUGGGCGAAAGCCUGAUCCAGCCAUGCCGCGUGUGUGAAGAAGGCCUUUUGGUUGUAAAGCACUUUAAGCGAGGAGGAGGCUACUUGGAUUAAUACUCUAGGAUAGUGGACGUUACUCGCAGAAUAAGCACCGGCUAACUCUGUGCCAGCAGCCGCGGUAAUACAGAGGGUGCGAGCGUUAAUCGGAUUUUACUGGGCGUAAAGCGUGCGUAGGCGGCUUUUUUAAGUCGGAUGUGAAAAUCCCCUGAGCUUAACUUAGGGAAUUGCAUUCGAUACUGGGAAGCUAGAGUAUGGGAGAGGAUGGUAGAAUUCCAGGUGUAGCGGUGAAAUGCGUAGAGAUCUGGAGGAAUACCGAUGGGCGAAGGCAGCCAUCUGGCCUAAUACUGACGCUGAGGUACGAAAGCAUGGGGAGCAAACAGGAUUAGAUACC